AUAUAUAAAUGUUAUUAAGGACAUAUAUGAGGGGGAGGUCACAAGUGUGUGAACUGUGGGAGACUACGCACCAUUGCUUAUGGUUCAGACUAUGCACUUUGUAGAGAUGGUAGAUUGGUUCCCUCCAUUUUGUCCAAUAAUCUCUUUAUUUUAGACAAGGAGAUGUUUCAUAGAGGAUGUGAAAAUCAAUGAAAUUAUUCUUAAGCCUAAUUGAUAAGGAUCCUAGUCUAAAUUUGAAAUAUGAAAAUAAGAUUUGGAAGAAGACAACAAAGCAUAGAAAACAACACUUUGUAGAUAAGCUAACUAAGAUACUCUAGCGUAG
rnacentral:misc_RNA from 1 species